UACGAAGGGGGCAAGCGUUGUUCGGAUUUACUGGGCGUACAGGGAGCGUAGGCGGUUGGGUAAGCCCUCCGUGAAAUCUCCAGGCUUAACCUGGAAAGUGCAGAGGGGACUGCUCGGCUAGAGGAUGGGAGAGGAGCGCGGAAUUCCCGGUGUAGCGGUGAAAUGCGUAGAGAUCGGGAGGAAGGCCGGUGGCGAAGGCGGCGCUCUGGAACAUUUCUGACUUUGAGGCUCGAAAGCGUGGGGAGCAAACAGG
rnacentral:rRNA from 1 species